rnacentral:lncRNA from 1 species
GUAAAAACUAUACAUACACAGUAAGUAUAUUGAUAAACACAUGAUUUAUAACGUAUGGAAAAUACAUAAGUUAUUGUAUUUACAUAGUAUUUUGUACAUAUGUAUAUGAAUUAAAUAGUAUGUUUAUAUACAAAUUAUUGGCUGGGAUAAAAAUAUUGUGGCAAAGGUGACCCAGCAGUGCUAAGUUGCCACAGAACUCCAGGAAGAGUCUGAAGUGUUGCAACACUGACUUUAAAAGGGAGAAGUGGGAGAUGAGCUGGAUGCUGAAUGCACGUGGGUGUGUUCUGCCAGUGGUCUGAUUGUGCUGACCCUACAUCUUUCUGCUGCAUCCGUGGGAGGAGCAGUUUGAUUUCAGACCAAAAGUCCAUCUUGCAGAAAUCGUUGUCUCCUAGAGUGGUUACAAGCAGCUGGCCAGAGAGGAGUAAGAACAAGAGAAAACUCUAGGCGUUGGCCCUGUGUGGUUCCAUACAUGUGAGACCUGUGAACAUGAGCAAUACAGCCAUUGAGGGGGAGCUUGUCGUCCAGCCUAGAAACUGGAGUGAGGAAAACCAGCUGGAGAACAUCUGGUUUGUUCAGCCCGAAUCCAAAUUAACAAAACCCCUCCACCGCUCAUGGAAUGAUCUUAGUGUAGAGGCGUCGGGUGCCUGGUUGGUGUCUGCAUGCCAUGAAAUCCAUCCUCCAAAAGAACAAGUUAUGUACGAAAUGAAAGUGAAACCUCUGCUGGAGGAAGUUUUGCUUUACAGAUUUGUAGAUGGUGAGGUUUUUUUUCCCCCUCUGGAAGCAGUCCUGAAAAAUGAGAAAUCUUCUUUCUCAGAAUGAUGUACCAAAUGCCCUUCCACUAUCAAGCUCACGAGUCACAUCCUGCUUCUAUGUUUUGGUGAUGCUGUGUCAGCAGAAGCACCAAUUUCCACACUCGUAAGCCAGAUUGGGGUUGCACUUGAUGAUCUC